GCUUCUUUGUGUAUUGCAGGAGUGGACCGAGCCCAAUAACUUCCACAUCUGCAUCACGUCCUAUAAGCAGUUCUUCAGGGGCUACACUGCCUUCUCAAGAGUGCACUGGAAAUGCCUUGUUGUUGAUGAAAUGCAGCGAGUGAAGGGCAUGACUGAGCGGCACUGGGAAGCCAUCUUCAAGCUGCAGAGGUCUGACCCAAGUGUUCUUACCUAAGGAUUUAUCUUAAAGAAAUUUAAAUCAUUGCAUAGAUAUACCAGUUUAGUGAAAA
rnacentral:lncRNA from 1 species